CAGGUCCAAUUAUCAGGCUAAUGCAAUCAUCUGAAGCGUCGCUGAAAUUCCUGCGAAACCAAAUUCGUAUUCAGGAUUCUCCUAUGCGCAUGGACGAGCAUCAGAACAGCCCAGCAACAACAACAACAACCAACAGAUGCACUUGCUGUGCAUGCAACGAUGUGCAGCUAAGCGUGCGUGUUAACGCACGCUGUCGUGUGGAUGCAGCCUGUUCUCUAUGGGCUCUUCCUGGCCUAAGUACAACGCUCUUGCGGAUUUAGUUCUGCUUUUUGACACUGCGAUUGCGAAACGACUUGAAAAUGGAUUGGAAAACGAAGGGGCUCGUUGAGUUGAAAUUCUCCAACCAUCCGCUCAAUAUUUUUCCCAAUUACUGCUACUACUAAAUUACUAAUUUCGUACUAAUUCUACGAAACUCGAAGAGGUUACACGGAUCCUACGAGGAGAUAGAAAUAUCAGACAUUGAAAUAGCAACAUCGUGGAGUCAUUUUUUCAAUGUUUCAAACAUCAGCCACUAAGAUAAUAAUUAGUCACGUAGACCCAGAUGACAAAAUGCUGAAUUGAAAGAAUUUUGUGGGAAGUGUUAAUUCUGAUUCUUUAACAUUAUAAUGGUUGUUGGAAAGCUUCUGUCUAAUAGCCACGUAGGACGAUGAUAUGCCUGGCCAUUAAUUUGUACAAAGCUAGAAAGAUCAUAGACGAAAUUAACACCAUCACACGAACGCGUACUGAUUUUCUAAUUAGAGUGUAAUACAUUGCAGGAAUUUCACAAACCAUGCGACGACGACGUAACUUGGAUUUCUCAUAAAAACGUGGAGACAAUACUUCCUGGCGUUUCAGCAAAGAAAAAGAUUGAAACACCGGAUUAAUAGGAAUAGAGAGAAAUGGUAAUCGAAAAUGGUGGCUGCGGGGCUCGCUCUGCGCUAUUCCCACGGAAACAAUAGGCAGCCCGCGAGCGUCACGCGUGCAAAUCCAAGUGCAUUUCGUCGGGCGUGGAACAAUUGGAAGACCGCUAAUGAAAACGACCACCGACCGGAUCAGAUUUAAUUUUAUUAAUAACCAAUACCAUCCACCAGGGCUAAGCUACCAAUGAACGAAGAGCUACGAUUCCUGGAGUGAUCUUACGCGUUCGAUUUACGGCAUAUAAAUUCGUUGAGGCAUGCCUUAUCGUGUACCCCUUAGGGACUUCCGACUGGCUGACCCAAAUGUUCCAUCCGGAUUGACCUAGUUUCUCCUCCGAACGUCCUCGAGGUAUCUGUCUCGUUUAUCUGCACGGAAGGCAACCUUCCGUUUCGCCGUUUCAGUUUUAUCGUUGGAACGGCGAACAUUCCACGAAAAUGCGAAUUGGGAAAAUUUAACUUAUUAACCAGGGAACACCAGUUAAGUGGAGCAACUAGCGUUUCUAACCACUUGGACAUAAUUUUUUAUUCGAAUCCGCUAUAUUUUAAUCGAUCGAUUUAGCUCUGCUAACCUGUGCAGAUAAAUUCCACGACAUUUAUACUCGUUGCGGUGAAAGUCGACAUUUUCGAGAUUCUGCGACAGAAGACCAGCAACGUUAUGUAAAAUUAGUAAAAGUUUUCGUUCGUGGUUAUUCGUUAACCGUAACAGAUUGAACGAAUCCCCCGCUCUCGACAGACAACACAGCUUGUUUGUUUCAAUUAUUGGAAGCUAUGGAUCGAAAGCAAGAUAUAAAGAAAAAAAAAAUGAUAAAGAAACACAGAUCGCCAUUCUAGCACUGUGUUUUAUAUUUUAUGAACGAACGACAUUCCAACAGCUUUCAUAAACAUUAAUACUGGGAACAGAAGCAGUUAGUGUUUAUAUUUCAUCUUGCUCCUGGCUUUCUCCACUUUGAUGAAGGAACUUGAUACGCCACUAGAAGCGAAUUUAUGUUGAGAAGAGUUUCAACCAUUUUCUACCGAAAUAUUUUCACCAGAAGCAUAAAAUAGAGUCAAAUGUGCGAUAACUGAACAAGAUUUAUAACCAACCUUUUUCCUUUACAUUCUACUGUACUCGAAAGUCUAGUAUUCCAUUUUAUAUUUCUUGUCGCCAAUUGUUUAUUAUUCAAUACAAAAAUACGUUGUCGUAAAUCUAUUAAAAUUUCAAUGAGAAAUUACCAAUUGGUCGGUGCAAGCAUUCUAACAAUUUCUCAAUUAAAUAAGCGAAAUAAAAUAAAACGAGAGAGGCAAAUAAAUUCGACAGAGUCGUGGACCGUUUCGUAGGGGGUGGGCAGACGAGUUAAAUGAAUAAUCGUGACGGUGGUUAAGCGUUCCUGGCUCGAAACUAAUUCGAGUUUCCUAAUGCCCGAUGUCGCGAGGACGCCAGCAAUUCCUGGGGCUAGGGCCGGUAUUUUCGAUUCAGACGCGCGCUACUCGAAAUCGUUCGAGCGUGCUUAAACAUUAACGUCCACUGGCGGAUUGUUACCGGUCCGUUAGUCCGUACGAUCCGCAUUCACAGAGUCAUCGGUGGCCGCCGGUCGUAGCGUCGAAAUUGCGUCAAUUAUUCGAGGAAGCCGGCUUGGCCCGCAAAUUGCGCGUUCCUCGCUGCUUCCACAGAGUUUUCAGUUUAUUGCAGACGUUUCGAAGGAACGUCCCCGACCACAAAUCCACGGAGAUCGUAACAGGAUUCGAAGAACGACGAGUUUCCCAUUCAGCCAUUAAAGCAUGCAAAUAAGAGGAGUCAGAAGAUUGAUGAAAUUAAUUAACGCGUUUCUUCAAGAAAUUCGUUUUACCCGUGGAUGGCAUGUAUCUCGUUGGAAUUUGUUAUAUGUUAAUUCGCUUACGUUUAACUUCGCCAUUGGACGUGAUAUUUCAAACCAAAUCUAAUAUCCAGACCACUGUGUUAGAGCUGCGUCUAUCUCAACCGCGUUUAUUGGAACGAGAAUUCAGUUCACGCCUGAUUAACCGAGCCCUUGUCGAUUGAAUUUGUUGAGAAUUUUGCAUCUUAAUAGCCGAAAUAAUGGUAUAGGAACACUAAAGCUACACUUUGAAUUUAUAUUAGAAUAAUUAUAUAUUCAUUUGAUAAGCGAUUGCAAGGAUAUUCAUCGAUACACAUUUGCACGCGUCUCAGCACUUUCUUCCAUAGCCGACUGUUAACCGACUGAACAGUUUACCUUCAUUUGUCAUCGAGACACCGCACACACCCAUACUUCCACAUACUGAUAUUCACAUACAAGUAUUACUGCUACGCAUCUAACCUAGUCUAGCACAUAAAUUUAUACAUAUCUCAAUAGAAUUCAUUGAACGUGAGCUUCUAUUAUGUGAAAACAUUGUUAUUAGAUAGCUUAGAUAGAAGAAAAUUGAUGAGCUUCUACUACAGGAACCGCAAUUUUAUGAACUGUCCCACUACGACCACUUACUUAACCUCAUAGUUAGGCAUAGUAAAUUCAACCGUAAUCCAAUACUUAUGUAGGCUAAUAUAAAUUAAUAUUCAUGUUAAAUCAUCUUAAAUGAAAUUUCAUAUGCAGAAGCGAAGCUAUUUAGUACAAUAAGCAUCGAGGAAACGAGGCAAAAACUGAGACCCUGGCAGACCUGCUGAGGAGCCAUUGGAAGGGAAAGUGUGCACAAGGAGGUUUGAAGAGCAGGGGAACGCAGGAGAACUCGGAUGAAAGGGUGUGCCGUGGCCUAAUGCGAGCGAACAAACCAUUAAACUACACUCAGCCGGUACUCCACUGAUUAUAACCCAUUAGACAUGACAUGUGUGCAUUAAACGAGUUAUCGCGCGCGUAGACUGUUCCCUGCUACACGAUCGGAACCAUCCUGUUGGCUGACAUGGAUGAACCUAACAAUUCCAAUGGGAAAGACGUUCUAUCCAGUGAUUUAAAUUGGAACUGACUAUACUAUCGUGCAAUAAUAAAUCUCUGCUUUUUUUUGACGAUGUUUGAGGAUGUUUGAGGAUGUUUGAGCACGUAAUUCGAUCACCAAUGGAUCUACGAGUUCUUAUUUUCUACGAUUGUUAUAGCUAUGUCAUAGGUAGACUGUUACAGCCAUAGCAGAACAUUGUGAUGCUGCAAAAUUGAUUUUUAAAUAGCAACGAGCAAUGAUUUCUGAAAAGCUCUUAAUUCCUCUAGUUCCUAAGAGUAUUCAAAUUUAUAAUCUGCCAAUUCCUUGGGAUCAAAUGUCCAAUCCUAAUCAUCAAUGUUUGCAUUAAUUUUGGUUAGCCAGCUUGAUUAGAAGGGGAGAAUGAUACGAGGGAAAAAGUUCGAGCGUCACGGAAGUUCAGUAAGGACAGGAGAAGGGCGAGUGACCGACGAACGAGUUGGAAAAAGUUAGGGGGAUGAACCGAGUGCGCUUUCGGGGAUAACGAAUCGUCGUUCGAACGUUUCUGGAGCACGCUUGGGCUUUAAUUCCAGGGAAUUGCCAAGUUCAUCCAGGCCAAGUAUCGCUAAAGGGCAGGCUCCUCGUCGAAACUGCUUCUAGGUUUCCAAUCGACGCCUUGAUUUCCUCCGAAACGAUCCGCACGUACGAAAGAAAUUACCAUAAAAAAUUUUUCAAUCGAAUUAAACAUUCUCUUCAAAAAAUUUCAAGAUGGGAAUAUUUCCAACAAGAAAAGAAUUGGUCAAAGAGUGUCUGUACUGUAAUUUAAGCAUAGGUAACAGAUAAAAAAUUGUUCGAACAAUGUUUUUAACCAACCAAAUACAUAAAAGUGAUAAAACACAUAUUAUGAUAUAGAAAAGGGCAAUGAAAUAUAAGUAAAUGUGAUUUCAAGCAAAGUGAGUCAGA